UGCGUAGGCGGGUCGUUAAGUCAGUGGUGAAAUCCUGCAGCUCAACUGUAGACUUGCCAUUGAUACUGACGAUCUUGAGUGCGCUUGAAGUAGGCGGAAUAUGUCGUGUAGCGGUGAAAUGCUUAGAUAUGACAUAGAACACCAAUUGCGAAGGCAGCUUACUAAGGCGAUACUGACGCUGAGGCACGAAAGCGUGGGGAUCAAACAGGAUUAGAUACCCUGGUAGUCC
rnacentral:rRNA from 1 species